rnacentral:pre_miRNA from 1 species
GAGACACCCCUAUGGAGCAGGACUUGCUUCAGUGGGGCUUUGGUUCUCACUGAGUCUGCCUUUGAGUGUGUCGCU